rnacentral:rRNA from 1 species
AUGGGCAACACCGGGAGUAGAUUUAGCCACAACUUUGAUUUGAACAAUACAUGCUCGAAGAAUGAAUGUUUGAUUCCUCUUCAGGAGCUACUAAAAUCAUCUGCUUUUCUAGUUGAUGAUAGCUGUGUCCUUGGUGUUAAGAUAUUGAAAAUUAAAUUAUUUUCUACUGAAAAGAAGGCUGCUGUGGUUCCGAAGAAGGUUACCACAGUACAGAACCUUUUUAUCCAGAAGAAAGGGCUCAUCAAAGGGACCUACACCUGGAUCAUGGACAACUACCACGAAUUGGACUCGAAGCACUUUGUUUGUUCUCCUACAUUCGAAGUUGGUGGACAUAAAUGGCAUGUUGGCCUGUAUCCGCAUGGUCGCAGACACAUCACCAACCAUGUCUCCUUGUUCUUAUACCUGGAGUCCUCGGAUAAGCUCUGUGACGAGUCUGGGAAGGCAGUUGAAUAG